UACAGAGGGGGCAAGCGUUGUUCGGAAUUACUGGGCGUAAAGGGCUCGUAGGCGGCCAACUAAGUCAGACGUGAAAUCCCUCGGCUUAACCGGGGAACUGCGUCUGAUACUGGAUGGCUUGAGUUUGGGAGAGGGAUGCGGAAUUCCAGGUGUAGCGGUGAAAUGCGUAGAUAUCUGGAGGAACACCGGUGGCGAAGGCGGCAUCCUGGACCGACACUGACACUGAGGAGCGAAAGCCAGGGGAGCAAACGGG
rnacentral:rRNA from 1 species